rnacentral:rRNA from 1 species
UGAGGAAUUUUGCGCAAUGGGAGCAAUCCUGACGCAGCAACGCCGCGUGGGUGAAGAAGGCCUUCGGGUCGUAAAGCCCUGUCAGGUGGGAAGAAGGGUCCUAUCAGGAAAGGGGUGGGAUUUGACGGUACCACCAGAGGAAGCACCGGCUAACUCCGUGCCAGCAGCCGCGGUAAUACGGAGGGUGCGAGCGUUAUUCGGAAUUACUGGGCGUAAAGCGCGUGUAGGCGGGGGAGCAAGUCUGAUGUGAAAGCCCCGGGCUUAACCCGGGAAGUGCAUUGGAAACUGUUUUUCUUGAGUACUGGAGAGGAAGGGGGAAUUCCCGGUGUAGAGGUGAAAUUCGUAGAGAUCGGGAGGAAUACCAGUGGCGAAGGCGCCCUUCUGGACGGUUACUGACGCUGAGACGCGAAAGCGUGGG